GAUGAAGAACGUAGCGAAAUGCGAUAAGUAAUGUGAAUUGCAGAAUUCCGUGAAUCAUCGAAUUUUUGAACGCACAUUGCGCCCCCUGGCAUUCCGGGGGGCAUGCCUGUCCGAGCGUCAUUUCUGCCCUCCAGCCCGGCUGGGUGUUGGGCGCUGUCCCCCCGGGGACACGCCCCAAAGGCAGUGGCGGCGCCGCGUCGGGUCCUCGAGCGUAUGGGGCUUUGUCACCCGCUCGGGACGGACUCGUCGGCGCUGGUCUUCCUCCAGGCGACCCUUCGGGGCUCGUCUUCCUUCGGUUGACCUCGGAUCAGGUAGGGUUACCCGCUGAACUUAAGCAUAUCAAUAAGCGGAGGA
rnacentral:misc_RNA from 1 species